AGUGGGGAAUUGUUCGCAAUGGGCGCAAGCCUGACGACGCAACGCCGCGUGGAGGAUGAAGGUCUUCGGAUUGUAAACUCCUGUUGAUCGGGACGAAAAGCUCCAACCUAAUACGUUGGAGACUGACGGUACCGGUUGAGGAAGCCACGGCUAACUCUGUGCCAGCAGCCGCGGUAAUACAGAGGUGGCAAGCGUUGUUCGGAAUUACUGGGCGUAAAGGGCGCGUAGGCGGCCUUCUAAGUCGGACGUGAAAGCCCCAGGCUUAACCUGGGAACUGCGUCCGAUACUGGGAGGCUUGGAUUCGGGAGAGGGAUGUGGAAUUCCAGGUGUAGCGGUGAAAUGCGUAGAUAUCUGGAGGAACACCGGUGGCGAAGGCGGCAUCCUGGACCGAGAUCGACGCUGAGGCGCGAAAGCUAGGGGAGCAAA
rnacentral:rRNA from 1 species